rnacentral:rRNA from 3 species
AAAUUGAAGAGUUUGAUCAUGGCUCAGAUUGAACGCUGGCGGCAGGCCUAACACAUGCAAGUCGAACGGUAACAGGAAGCAGCUUGCUGCUUUGCUGACGAGUGGCGGACGGGUGAGUAAUGUCUGGGAAACUGCCUGAUGGAGGGGGAUAACUACUGGAAACGGUGGCUAAUACCGCAUAAUGUCGCAAGACCAAAGAGGGGGACCUUCGGGCCUCUUGCCAUCAGAUGUGCCCAGAUGGGAUUAGCUUGUUGGUGAGGUAACGGCUCACCAAGGCGACGAUCCCUAGCUGGUCUGAGAGGAUGACCAGCCACACUGGAACUGAGACACGGU